GACAGAGGUGCCGAGCGUUAGGCGGAAUCACUGGGCUUAAAGCGUGUGUAGGCGGACCGUUAAGUACCUUGUGAAAUCCCACGGCUCAACCGUGGAACGGCUGGGUAGACUGGCGGUCUUGAGCGGCCUAGGGGCAGAUGGAACAGACGGUGGAGCGGUGAAAUGCGUAGAUAUCGUCUGGAACGCCAAAGGUGAAGACAGUCUGCCGGGGGCCUGCUGACGCUGAGACACGAAAGCCAGGGGAGCGAACGGG
rnacentral:rRNA from 1 species